rnacentral:rRNA from 1 species
GAUGAACGCUGGCGGCGUGCCUAAUACAUGCAAGUCGAGCGAACGGACGAGAAGCUUGCUUCUCUGAUGUUAGCGGCGGACAGGUGAGUAACACGUGGAUAACCUACCUAUAAGACUGGGAUAACUUCGGGAAACCGUAGCUAAUACCGGAUAAUAUUUUGAACCGCAUGGUUCAAAAGUGAAAGACGGUCUUGCUGUCACUUAUAGAUGGAUCCGCGCUGCAUUAGCUAGUUGGUAAGGUAACGGCUUACCAAGGCAACGAUGCAUAGCCGACCUGAGAGGGUGAUCGGCCACACUGGAACUGAGACAAGGUCCAGACUCCUACGGGAGGCAGCAGUAGGGAAUCUUCCGCAAUGGGCGAAAGCCUGACGGAGCAACGCCGCGUGAGUGAUGAAGGUCUUCGGAUCGUAAAACUCUGUUAUUAGGGAAGAACAUAUGUGUAAGUAACUGUGCACAUCUUGACGGUACCUAAUCAGAAAGCCACGGCUAACUACGUG